rnacentral:rRNA from 1 species
ACAGCGGGAAGCGAGGGGCGACCUUGAGCGGAUCCCUACAAAGCCGGUCUCAGUUCCGGAUUGCAGUCUGGCAACUCGACUGCAUGAAGUUGGAAUCGCUAGUAAUCGUGGAUCAGCCAAGCCGCGGUGAAUACGUUCCCGGGCCUU